rnacentral:rRNA from 1 species
UACGAAGGGGGCUAGCGUUGCUCGAAAUCACUGGGCGUAAAGGGUGCGUAGGCGGGUCUUUAAGUCAGGGGUGAAAUCCUGGAGCUCAACUCCAGAACUGCCUUUGAUACUGAAGAUCUUGAGUUCGGGAGAGGUGAGUGGAACUGCGAGUGUAGAGGUGAAAUUCGUAGAUAUUCGCAAGAACACCAGUGGCGAAGGCGGCUCACUGGCCCGGUACUGACGCUGAGGUGCGAAAGCGUGGGGAGCAAACAGG